rnacentral:rRNA from 1 species
GACGAACGCUGGCGGCGUGCCUAAUACAUGCCAGUAGAACGCACAGUUUAUACCGUAGCUUGCUACACCAUAGACUGUGAGAUGCGAACGGGUGAGUAACGCGUCGGGAACCUGCCUGGUAGCGGGGGAUAACUAUUGGAAACGAUAGCUAAUACCGCAUAAUAUUCAUUAUUGCAUGAUAAUUAAUUGAAAGGUGCAAUUGCACCACUACCAGAUGGACCUGCGUUGUAUUAGCUAGUAGGGGAGGUAACGGCUCACCUAGGCGACGAUACAUAGCCGACCUGAGAGGGUGAUCGGCCACACUGGGACUGAGACACGGCCCAGACUCCUACGGGAGGCAGCAGUAGGGAAUCUUCGGCAAUGGACGAAAGUCUGACCGAGCAACGCCGCGUGAGUGAAGAAGGUUUUCGGAUUGUAAAGCUCUGUUGUACGAGAAGAACGGGUGUGAGGGUGGAAAGUUCACACUGUGACGGUAUCUUACCAGAAAGGGACGGCUAACUACGUG